rnacentral:rRNA from 1 species
GAUGAACGCUGGCGGCGUGCUUAACACAUGCAAGUCGAACGAAGCACCUCUCCCGAAGAUUGACACAGCUUGCUGUAGAUUGAUUCAUUUGAGGUGACUGAGUGGCGGACGGGUGAGUAACGCGUGGGUAACCUGCCUCAUAGAUGGGGACAACAGUUGGAAACGACUGCUAAUACCGCAUAGUAAGAAGAAUUCGCAUGUUUUCUUCUUGAAAGAUUUAUCGCUAUGAGAUGGACCCGCGUCUGAUUAGCUAGUUGGUAAGGUAACGGCUUACCAAGGCGACGAUCAGUAGCCGGCUUGAGAGAAGGAGCGGCCACAUUGGGACUGAGACACGGCCCAAACUCCUACGGGAGGCAGCAGUGGGGAAUAUUGCACAAUGGGGGAAACCCUGAGGCAGCGACGCCGCGUGAGUGAAGAAGUAUUUCGGUAUGUAAAGCUCUAACAGCAGGGAAGAUAAUGACGGUACCUGAAUAAGAAGCCCCGGCUAACUACAUG